rnacentral:tRNA from 1 species
GGCGCGAUGGCGGAACUGGUAGACGCGUAGGUCUCAAAAACCUAUGGAGCUAACACUUCGUGUGGGUUCGAUUCCCACUCGCGCCA